rnacentral:rRNA from 1 species
UACAGGCUGCAGCAAUGUUAGCUUGUGUUCAGCGGCGCAAGGGUGCGUAACACGUGGGUAAUUUGCCAUAAAGUCUGGAAUAACUUGCUGAAAGGCGAGCUAAUGCCGGAUGUGACUUCCGAAGGGCAUCUUUUGGAAUUCAAAGCUGGAACCGUAAGGUCUGGCGCUUUUUGAUAAGCCCGCGGUCUAUCAGCUAGUUGGUGAGGUAACGGCUCACCAAGGCUAAGACGGAUAGCUGGUCUGAGAGGACGACCAGCCACACUGGAACUGAGACACGGUCCAGACACCUACGGGUGGCAGCAGUCGAGAAUUUUUCACAAUGGGCGAAAGCCUGAUGGAGCGACGCCGCGUGGGGGAUGAAUGGCUUCGGCCCGUAAACCCCUGUCAUUUGCGAACAAACCUUACCGGUUAAUACCCGGUGAGCUGAUUGUAGCGGAAGAGGAAGGGACGGCUAACUCUGUGCCAGCAGCCGCGGUAAUACAGAGGUCCCGAGCGUUGUUCGGAUUCACUGGGCGUAAAGGGUGCGUAGGUGGUGAGGUAAGUCGGAUGUGAAAUCUCCGGGCUCAACCCGGAAAUGGCAUUGGAAACUACCUUGCUGGAGGAUUUGAGGGGGGAUUGGAAUACUUGGUGUAGCAGUGAAAUGCGUAGAUAUCAAGUGGAACACCAGUGGCAAAGGCGAAUCCCUGGAAAAUACCUGACACUGAGGCACGAAAGCUAGGGGAGCAAACAGGAUUAGAUACCCUGGUAGUCCUAGCCCUAAACGGUGCUUGCUUGCUGUAAGAGGAAUCGACCCCUCUUGUGGCGGAGCUAACGCGUUAAGCAAGCCGCCUGGGAAGUA